AGUAUUAUAUUUUAUAAUUAAAAAUAUUAAAUUGCAAAUUUAAAGAUAGGGUAUUAAUACCUUAGUACUU
rnacentral:tRNA from 1 species